rnacentral:rRNA from 1 species
UGGGGAAUAUUGCGCAAUGGGGGAAACCCUGACGCAGCAACGCCGCGUGAGCGAUGAAGGUCUUCGGAUUGUAAAGCUCUGUCUUUAGGGACGAUAAUGACGGUACCUAAGGAGGAAGCCACGGCUAACUACGUGCCAGCAGCCGCGGUAAUACGUAGGUGGCAAGCGUUGUCCGGAUUUACUGGGCGUAAAGAGUAUGUAGGCGGAUAUUUAAGUCAGAUGUGAAAUUCCCGGGCUUAACCUGGGCGCUGCAUUUGAUACUGGAUAUCUAGAGUGUGGGAGAGGAAAGCGGAAUUCCUAGUGUAGCGGUGAAAUGCGUAGAGAUUAGGAAGAACACCAGUGGCGAAGGCGGCUUUCUGGACCAUAACUGACGCUGAGAUACGAAAGCGUGGGGAGCAAACAGG